UAGUCCACGCCGUAAACGAUGGUUACUAGCUGUUCGAUCUUCGGAUUGAGUGGCUAAGCGAAAGUGAUAAGUAACCCACCUGGGGAGUACGUUCGCAAGAAUGAAACUCAAAGGAAUUGACGGGGGCCCGCACAAGCGGUGGAGCAUGUGGUUUAAUUCGAUGAUACGCGAGGAACCUUACCAGGGCUUAAAUGUAGUAUGACAGGGGUGGAAACACCUUUCCUUCGGGCAUAUUACAAGGUGCUGCAUGGUUGUCGUCAGCUCGUGCCGUGAGGUGUCAGGUUAAGUCCUAUAACGAGCGCAACCCCUGUUGUUAGUUGCCAACGAGUCAUGUCGGGAACUCUAACAAGACUGCCGGUGCAAACCGUGAGGAAGGUGGGGAUGACGUCAAAUCAUCACGGCCCUUACGUCCUGGGGCCACACACGUGCUACAAUGGGCCGGUACAGAGAGCAGCCACUACGCGAGUAGGAGCGAAUCUAUAAAACCGGGUCUCAGUUCGGGAUCGGGAGUCUGCAACUCGACUCC
rnacentral:rRNA from 1 species